UUUUGGAGCUGGUCCUUCCAGGCUAGUUUUAAGACAGGAGUCAGGAAGACUAUGACUCCAACUACAGAUCCCUACCUCCCUAGACUGGUAUGCCAAGAGAAGGAGAAAAAAAUAAUAAUGCCUUGUUUAUGUAUAAUCCACCUAGUAGGGAUAUACCUGAGACAAGAAUGAUAAUGGAGAGAAAUUUCUACAUAGCGACUUUUGAUGACUGCGUGGUAGAGACCUCCUGCUCUACUUCUAUUUGGGGUUUUUAGGACUACUGUGGCACCACAUGAGAUGCUGCUGCCUGUGGAAGAAAAAAAUCUCAAUAGCAUUGUUUUCCCAUUCAUCAUUGCUCUGAUGCUGGCAAAUCAAUUCAAGUACAAUCUGCUAUCAAAAUGAGAAAAAAUUUAAAAAAUAAGAAAAAUCUCUUCGGACAUGCUGCUUUGGGGAAAUAUGGACACAGAGCCUCAUGGGAGAAACCCCUUGUGAAUGUGAAGAUUUACAAGCCAAGAAGAGAAGCCUGGAACAGAUCCUAUCCUCACAACCCUCAGAAGAAAACAGCCUUGCCAAUACCUUGAUUUUUGACUUCUGGCCUUCAGAUGCAACACAAUAAAUGUCUAUUGUUGAA